rnacentral:rRNA from 1 species
AGCGAACGCUGGCGGCAUGCUUAACACAUGCAAGUCGCACGGUUGGGGGCAACUCCGGCAGUGGCGGACGGGUGAGUAACGCGUAGGAAUCUAUCCUUGGGUGGGGGACAACCGUGGGAAACUACGGCUAAUACCGCAUGAUCCCUGAGGGGCAAAGGCGAAAGUCGCCUGAGGAGGAGCCUGCGUCUGAUUAGGUAGUUGGUGGGGUAAAGGCCUACCAAGCCUGCGAUCAGUAGCUGGUCUGAGAGGAUGAUCAGCCACAUUGGGACUGAGACACGGCCCAAACUCCUACGGGAGGCAGCAGUGGGGAAUAUUGGACAAUGGGCGAAAGCCUGAUCCAGCAAUGCCGCGUGUGUGAAGAAGGUCUUCGGAUUGUAAAGCACUUUUGGCAGGGACGAUGAUGACGGUACCUGCAGAAUAAGCCCCGGCUAACUUCGUG